rnacentral:rRNA from 1 species
AUUGAACGCUGGCGGCAUGCCUUACACAUGCAAGUCGAACGGUAACAGGUCUUCGGAUGCUGACGAGUGGCGAACGGGUGAGUAAUACAUCGGAACGUGCCUAGUAGUGGGGGAUAACUACUCGAAAGAGUGGCUAAUACCGCAUGAGAUCUACGGAUGAAAGCAGGGGAACGCAAGAACUUUUGCUACUAGAGCGGCCGAUGGCAGAUUAGGUAGUUGGUGGGAUAAAAGCUUACCAAGCCGACGAUCUGUAGCUGGUCUGAGAGGACCAUCAGCCACACUGGGACUGAGACACGGCCCAGACUCCUACGGGAGGCAGCAGUGGGGAAUUUUGGACAAUGGGCGCAAGCCUGAUCCAGCAAUGCCGCGUGCAGGAUGAAGGCCUUCGGGUUGUAAACUGCUUUUGUACGGAACGAAAAGCCCUGGGUUAAUACCCUGGGGUCAUGACGGUACCGUAAGAAUAAGCACCGGCUAACUACGUGCCAGCAGCCGCCGUAACAC